rnacentral:rRNA from 1 species
UGAUCCUGGCUCAGGAUGAACGCUAGUAGUAUGCUUUACACAUGCAAGUUGAACGGAAUUUUUCGUAGCGAACGGGUGAGGAAUAAACAGAGUUUUACCUUUCAGUUCAGAACAACAAACUAAUUUUAGUUUUAAAUACUGAAUAACUUUAAAAAAAGGUUUGCUUAUAUUUAAGUACUUCCGCUGAAAGAUAGUUCUGUUUAAGAUUAGGUUGUUGGUAAUGUAAAAGAUUACCAAGCCAUCGAUCUUUAGUUGGUCUUAUGAGGAUGAUCAACCACACUGGAACUGAAAUAAGGUCCAGGCUGACACGUCGGCCAGCAGUGAGGAAUAUUGGACAAUGAACGAAAGUUUGAUCCAGCAAUACUAUAUGGAUGAUGACGGCUU